AGCGAACGCUGGCGGCAGGCUUAAUACAUGCAAGUCGAGCGCCUGUAGCAAUACAGGAGCGGCAGACGGGAGAGUAACACGUGGGAACGUGCCCUUUGGUUCGGAACAACACAGGGAAACUUGUGCUAAUACCGGAUAAGCCCUUACGGGGAAAGAUUUAUCGCCAAAGGAUCGGCCCGCGUCUGAUUAGCUAGUUGGUGGGGUAAUGGCCCACCAAGGCGACGAUCAGUAGCUGGUCUGAGAGGAUGAUCAGCCUCAUUGGGACUGAGACACGGCCCAAACUCCUACGGGAGGCAGCAGUAGGGAAUAUUGGACAAUGGGCGCAAGCCUGAUCCAGCCAUGCCGCGUGAGUGAUGAAGGCCUUAGGGUUGUAAAGCUCUUUCGGCGGGAAGAUAAUGACGGUACCCGCAUAAGAAGCCCCGGCUAACUUCGUGCCAGCAGCCGCGGUAAU
rnacentral:rRNA from 1 species